CAAAAUAACACGUUUUAUGCUAUAUUUUUUUGUGUAUUUCAAUGGAAUCAGGUGCAAGGCCUGAGCUGAAUGCGCAACGGUAUGAAGAUAAAAACGACAUCUGAAAUACAGCCACUGGACCGUCUGGUCUGGGAAGGCUUCAGAUGCAAAUGCUUCAAGCCCGGAAACUUUGGUACACACCUUUCGUAUGA
rnacentral:ncRNA from 1 species